rnacentral:rRNA from 1 species
AGGACGAACGCUGGCGGCGUGCUUAACACAUGCAAGUCGAACGAGGAUCAAGGAAGAGCUUGCUCCGAGAUGAUUCGAGUGGCGGACGGGUGAGUAACGCGUGAACAAUCUGUCUCAUACAGGGGGAUAACGCAUCGAAAGAUGUGCUAAUACCGCGUAGGACCACAGCAUCGCAUGGUGCAGGGGUGAAAGGAGCAAUCCGGUAUGAGGUGAGUUCGCGUCUGAUUAGAUAGUUGGUGAGGUAACGGCCCACCAAGUCAACGAUCAGUAGCCGACCUGAGAGGGUGAUCGGCCACAUUGGGACUGAGACACGGCCCAGACUCCUACGGGAGGCAGCAGUGGGGAAUAUUGGGCAAUGGGCGAAAGCCCUGACCCAGCAACGCCGCGUGAAGGAAGAAGGUUUUCGGAUCGUAAACUUCUGUCCUUGGUGAAGAUAGUGACGGUAGCCAAGGAGGAAGCCCCGGCUAACUACGUGCCAGCAGCUGC